rnacentral:misc_RNA from 1 species
CCAAUAGCGUAUAUUAAAGUUGUUGCAGUUAAAAAGCUCGUAGUUGAAUUUCGGGACCAAUCUGCCGGUCGUGCCUCCGGUACGCACUGGUUUUAUUGGUUUCUCCCUUCUGACGAACCAUGAUGUCAUUAAUUUGGUGUCAUGGGGAAUCAGGACUGUUACUUUGAAAAAAUUAGAGUGUUUAUAGCAGGCUCACGCUUGAAUACAUUAGCAUGGAAUAAUGAAAUAGGACGUUUGACCCUAUUUUGUUGGUUUCUAGGAUCGACGUAAUGAUUAAUAGGGAUAGUUGGGGGCAUUAGUAUUCAAUUGUCAGAGGUGAAAUUCUUGGAUUUAUUGAAGACUAACUACUGCGAAAGCAUUUGCCAAGGAUGUUUUCAUUAAUCAAGAACGAAAGUUAGGGGAUCGAAGACGAUCAGAUACCGUCGUAGUCUUAACCAUAAACUAUGCCGACUAGGGAUCGGAUGAUGUUAAUUUUUUAAUGACUCAUUCGGCGCCUUACA